CCUACGGGUGGCAGCAGUGGGGAAUAUUGCACAAUGGGGGAAACCCUGAUGCAGCGACGCCGCGUGAGUGAAGAAGUUUUUCGGUAUGUAAAGCUCUAUCAGCAGGGAAGAAAAUGACGGUACCUGAGCAAGAAGCCCCGUCUAACUACGGGCCAGCAGCCGCGGUAAUACGUAGGGGGCAAGCGUUAUCCGGAUUUACUGGGUGUAAAGGGAGCGUAGACGGCAGCACAAGUCUGGAGUGAAAUGCCGGGGGUUAACCCCGGAACUGCCUUGGAAACUGUGCAGCUAGAGUGCAGGAGAGGUAAGUGGAAUUCCUAGUGUAGCGGUGAAAUGCGUAGAUAUUAGGAAGAACGCCAGUGGCGAAGGCGGCAUACUGGCGUGUAACUGACGUUGAGGCACGAAAGCGUGGGGAGCAAACAGGAUUAGAUACCCUGGUAGUC
rnacentral:rRNA from 1 species